CAGAGGUUACACAUCCAUCAAAUAUGCCUUGAUCUCCAAAGAGGUGCUGCAAACUUUCACUUGAGAUAUCACUUGGAAGCACUGCUUCUUUAAGAUUUUUGCUGAUGGGAUAAACUACCCUCGUAACACAGUGGAGGAUGAGGCUGCCUAAAUUGGAAUACUCAAGUAAAAUACAGAUCCCCCCUGAAGACAGCUUCCCAUCACUGGAUGCCCAGUUUCACCCUAAGGCCAUCCUUUGCUGGGCCAUGACUUCUCUUACUGACAGAAUAGUUUUCACUAAUAGUAAUGUGAUCAGUCAGUGCACAGAGGGGACCGAGGCUGCCCCUGUCCCAAAUGAGACAUCAUAUCACACACACUCUCCGUCACUUCUCUUUCACUGAGUCAACAAGGUGUAACCACUCCGGCCAUCACCCAAGACAAGACUGUGGUGCAAGAAAACCAAUGUUGUUUUUUAUGGGGUGACCUACAAAAGCUGUGUCUCGCAAAGAAGAUAUCCAAGGAACACAAUCUUUAAGAUUAUAUAAACAUCAAUGAGUUUGAAUCAAUCAUAAAUAAAUGAUGUGACAUCUCAGGGGAAAAUCAGACACUUGCCAUAUACUGUAUGCUAACAACAAAUAGCAUUGCUGUAGAGCAGGGGUAGGCAACUCCAGGGCUUGAGUGCCGGUGUCCUGCAGGUUUUAGAUCGCACCCUGGGUUAACACACCUGAAUCAAAUGAUUAGCUCAUUACCAGGCCUCUGGAGAACUUCAAGAAAUGCUGAAGAGUCAUUUAGCCCUUUAAAUCAGCUGUGAUGGAUCAUGGACACAUCUAAAAUCUCCAGGACAGCAGCACUCGAGGCCUGGAGUUGCCUACCCCUGCUGUAGAGGUUCCCCGUGUAUCUUAUCUUGUGUUACUUAUCCUGCAUUUUGGGUCCAGAGUGGAAAGAGUUGAAGGAGAUUUGAAGGAGGAGCUUGGCCAUUUGUUAUUGUUUUUGGGAGAUUUCAUGCUGCUGUAUAGUAACUUCUCACAGACUAGUGCAUAUCAGACCUAAAUAGCAGAGGCACCAGUUGCUAUAAAUAUACAAAUAUAGAGCAAGACUGGAGGAACAGAAUGAGAACACAAAAGGGAAUUAACUAAAUUAAUCCAAGGAACACAGAACCCAAACUCAAAGAUAACCAAAAAUAGAAUGUUUGAAUGAAUUUCAUAAAACAUAAAAACCCCAAAAGCGUGGGUAUAAAAUCCAACGAUCAUGGCAAGCAGCCAUGUAACAGCUAGCUCAUCUGUGCACUGUGUGCACUGACCCUCACGUACAUAACCAGCAUUCCCUCUAUAGCUGUUGGUGUUUUGGUUCCCUAGGACUGACAUGUGCAAAAUAUUAUCACUCUUUCCUCACAGCAAGAACCCAGGGCCUUUCUGUGUGUUUCUGUGUCAAGUUUGCAUGUUCUCCUCAUGUUUCUGUGGUAUUCCAUGGGGGAAAACCCACACAUCCAAGGACUUUCAAGUCUAGAGUAAAUUCUCUUGUCACUGUUUUUGACCAAUGACCUAUUGUACAGCUGGAGUUAUUCCCCUGGCACAGCACAAAGGCUUCACAUUUUUCCUAGUGCUUAUUAUAUGUUUAAUGGAAACAAAGGAUAUUUGGUCCCGUUCUAUUUUAUCAUUCUAUUUGUCAUUUCAGAAUUUAAACUCUUUUUUGAGUUUGGUUAAGUGGUACAGCUAAUGUUUAAAAGUCCUGUGACUGGACGUUUUAAGAAGUCUAUAUUCCAUUUUUUAAAGGCAGACUGGCCUUCAUAUGAGAUACUGUGUGAGUAAGAAAAUCUUUCAGCUAUGAUAAACACAGCACAGUGUGAUGAAUCAAGAGGUUUCAGUGUGGAGGGUGAAGCAUAUGCAGUGUGUAGGAGUUUUUAGUGCAUAUUAGAAUUAGCAGUACUGAAGAAUAAUGGGUGUAUUAGUGGGAGGUAUUUAAGUAACAAAAGGCCAUGCAGGUGUAGUAGGCCUCCUCAACCAAGAAAACCUGAUUCGACUGAAAGAUAUCUAUGUAUUUGUUUAUACUCGUGGUAUAUUUACUGCACAACAAACCUUAUUUGUUGUGGCUAAUGUAGUAUGAUUUUCUCCAUCAGGAUAAGUUGUAAAUGCAAUAGUGCCCCAGACUGUGCUGCAUAAAACCAUGAAUGGAAACUAAGUAAGAACAUGUAAAUUCUGCAGAGGUCCAAUUUGCUUUCUGUUAUGAAUGCAGGUAACAGUAAACAAGAAAAGGCAAAAGAAGCAAUACAAGUAUGAGUGUUUCAGGAAACUUCUUGUAAGUGCCUGGAAGAAAUUGAAUAUAAAUGAAAUGAAAUGAAAUACGUGCAUUUUCCAGUGAGCGAGCAAGUUAAGCUUAAUACUCUGUAAUCAUCUGAUAGCAGUAGAAAUCUCCACAGCUGUGUUGAAGUUCCUGAGUGUGUCUGAGAUCUUGUUGCUUUUCAGCAUCCCCCUGAAUGAGAGACCCUUCAUCAACCAAAGUGUGACUCCACUGGGUCGUGGAACCGCACCAAUUUAAUAUCAGUUGGAAAAAAGUGGACAUAUGUACAUGGAUGUGUUAGAAAAUGCUAGAAAAUAUCCACCUAUAAGCACAGCUAAAGCUCAGUAAAUUCCUCCUGUUCUGAGGCAUGAUUAUCUGAAUACGUGUGUGCUGGCUGUAGGUUGAGAGACCGAAGUGACAAAUCUUGCCAAGAAAGCAAAUAAGCGCAUUUUCAAAAGGAAAAAAAA